ACCCGCGAGGCUUUGCGGUGGCUGCUUGGCGUGGCAGUGAUCGCUUGGCUUGGCAUUUCUGGCUUAGCGGUCCUCCUUUCGCAGAUUGGAAACCGCGGGCUAUCCUGCUGGGAGGUUGUGGCCGAGGCAGUAGCUCGCUACUGAUGGCCUCCUGGGGUGGAGAAAAGCGGGGAGGGGCUGGGGGGUCUCCGAAGCCGGCAGUCUACGCCACGAGGAAGACCCCUAGUGUUGGGAGCCAGGAGGACCAGUGGUACUUGGACUACCCGGGGGACCAGUGGUCCUUGGGCUUCUCCUACAGCUGGUGGAAGAACAGCGUCGGCAGCGAGAGCAAGCACGGUGAGGGCGCCUUAGACCAGCUCCAGCACGAUGUCCGCCUGGAAGAUCUUGGCGAGCUCCACAGAGCUGCCCGGUCGGGCGACGUCCCUGGGGUGGAGCACGUCUUGGCUCCUGGAGACACUGGCGUGGACAAGAGGGAUAGGAAGAAGAGCAUUCAGCAACUAGUUCCUGAAUAUAAGGAAAAACAGACACCUGAAAGUCUUCCUCAAAAUAACAAUCCAGCUGCUCCAAGCCAGGCUGAAGGAGGAGAAGGAGGAGUCGCCUGUGGUACGGUGGAGCAGAUGACGUGGCUCUGCAGCUUGCCUCAUGCAGUUGGUGGUGGAGAUGGAGACCACAGCUCGACUGGAGCGGUAGGAGGGCACCCACGGGGGCCUGGAGAGUAUUGUCAUCUGCAUGAGCAAAGGGUUCAUCACCACAUCUUUGCAAGAGGAAAAAGAAAGGGGAAGAAUCAUGUGUCUAAUGUUGUAAGGUAAACAUUCACAACCAAAAACAAGGUUUUAUUAACUUUUGCCUUUAAGAACCUGCAGUGUUUAGCCCUCUUUGAUUCCUAGUAUUAUUACCUUUGGUAUGAACUCUUUUAUUAAACUGAUCACUCUAGAGGUUUAUGCAUUUUGUAUCAUUUUUCAAGCCAACAGAAAUGUGUAAUGCCUAUAAUUCUGACACUUUAGUUAUUUUUAAGGCUAUGAGCAUGUAAGAUACUGUUGGAAGAAUAUGUAUAAAUACCACUAGGUAGCUUAUUUUGAAGAGAUAGUAUCUAAAUUUUUGUCCAGAGUAGAUUGGUUGCAGUUUCUUAGGUGUGUUUCUUAAUACGUUGCCUCAAUGUUUUAAAGCAUGUAGAAAUUUGAAUACAGUUUAACUUCAUAUAGUCCUUUGUUUAUAGAUUUAAUAUUUCUAAAGACUAAAGACAUCACAGCUCCCUUUAAGAUUCAGUAAUAUUAAUAAAAUUUUAGAAAUAUAGGGUUAGAAUCCAACAAAUUCAGAGGAAAAUUGUUAAAUUCUAUAGCUGUAGAGCAGAAAUGAAACCCAGGUUCUAAGCUCUAAGGGGGCCAUGAGGUACCAUACAGGUGCAUCAGUGACUGGGCAUAGAUUCAGCAAAAUUACAGGAUGGUUAAGAGAGUGAGCUGUGGAGCCAAACUCUAUGUAACAUGAAUUUUUAAACUGCCUGGUGCCUCAGUUUAUCCAUCUUUACAGUGGGGACUGUAGUAAGUUUUUCUUUUUCUGCUCAGUUGUCUGUCUUGUUGCCACUGUUCCCUAGUCUGUCUUGUUGCCACUCAGUGCCCACAUGAGAGGAUCUACGGUAAUUUCUGACAGCCUGGGACUCCUUAAAGAAAAACAGAAGGUGCUACAAAACCCAUUUUAGGAGAAACCUCUGUUGUCCUCAUGGAACCCCAAGAACUUCAGGCAGACAGGUCUCUCUCAAAAUCUAAGGCUCUCCUCUGUUUUGUUUUGCGUUAUCUGACCUUUUAGGUUUGGUUGGGCAUCAGAAAUCAGUCGGGGAGAGAGAUCUAAAGAAAGUUGUGGAUAUGAAGAUGUAUUUAUGGUAAAAAAGUUAUGAAGGAAAGAAAUGUUAUAUGAGAGAGGAUCUUGUAUGGCAAAUUCUUGUCCUAAAGUAGAAUGACUAAUUAUGAAAGAGGGAAAUACAGGAAAAGUCAGAAAGUUCAUGUCAUAGAUGGUCUGUGGAAGUUGUGCUAGGGUUCAUAAAAUGAGAAAGAAAAACUUACAACUGCUAGAUCUUCUCCUGUCUAGAAGUGUUGUGUAUGUGUUGGAUAUGUAAAGGAGCCCUAAUUACUUGGCUUAGAAGAAAAGGACGGCUCUUAAAUAUUUUGUCAGAAAAAUAGAAUCUCCAAUGCCUUUUAUUUCACAUGACUUCAGUAAUCUUUGGGAAAUAAAGACAGUGUUAAAAUCAUUGGUAAAAAAAAUCAUCAAAAUUUAUCCAUUUUGUCUAAUUUAAGUCAGAGGUUAAAUUUUAGAAGUGCUUUAACGUCAUAAAUUGAUUGACUUUGGAAAAUUGUUCUGUUUACCUGGUUUGGAGCUGCUCAACUUCUAGGUAAGGCCUGGGGGACAGGUGGAGUUAGCCAUGUCUCCUAGCUAUGCUGGAAAGAGUCAGACUUUACCUGCAGUUCUGUCUUGUAUCCUAUACACUGCACCUGGUACGUUAUUAAAACUUCCUGCUGCUUCUAAUCUCUGAGUUCCACUUUAAAUUUUUCCAUCACUUGAAUACUAUCCUCUGUACUAAAUUUUUCCGCAAUUAAAUACUUAGAAUCAUUUUUGCCCACUUGACCCAAGCAUUAGUGAUAUAUCUUUAAAAUACUUAUAAUGUGUCACAAUAUAUUUAGCAAAUGUAGCGAAUGGCAUUUUUACUUUUGUCAGCAUUUACAUAGCAUUUAGCAAUGCUAUCUCAAGUAUUUUUAGUCAUUUGAAUGUUACAUAAUAUGCUUUUCCUUUGUUUCUAUGUAAAUAAAUAGGAGAUAUUCAAUAAAUAGUAUCAAUUAA